rnacentral:rRNA from 1 species
CUACGGGUUGCUGCAGUGGGGAAUUUUGCGCAGUGGGGGAAACCCUGACGCAGCAAUACCGCGUGAGUGAAGAAGGCCUUUGGGUCGUAAAGCUCUUUUCUUGGGGAAGAUAGUGACGGUACCCAAGGAAUAAGCACCGGCUAACUCCGUGCCAGCAGUCGCGGUAAUACGGAGGGUGCAAGCGUUGUUCGGAUUUACUGGGCGUAAAGGGCACGUAGGCGGCACAGCAAGUUAAGGGUGAAAUCCCGGGGCUCAACUCCGGAACUGCUCUUAAAACUGCUGAGCUAGAGAUAGUCAGAGGCGGGUGGAAUUCCAGGUGUAGAGGUGAUAUUCGUAGAUAUCUGGAGGAACACCGGUGGCGAAGGCGGCCCGCUGGGGCUAUUCUGACGCUAAGGUGCGAAAGCGUGGGGAGCAAACGGGAUUAGAUACCCGAGUAGUC